UUCAAGCUCGUGUGAUUUGCAGGUUAUUAUGCGUAUUCAGAGUUUGAGUUUAUUCACGAGGCUUUGUACCCGCUAGACACUCGCCCCACUCUGCAUUUCCUUAGCUGCAAGAGUGGGAAAAGAAUUAUAGCUUGCGUACACCAUGGCCGUGACUGAGCAGUGGGAUGUUUAUAGCUUUGGGGUGGUGGUUCUAGAAACAAUAAUGGGAAGGUAUCCAAGCGAACUACUCUGUUUAGUGUCAUCAUCAUCUGCUCAAAAUAGUCUACUGAAGGACCUAUUAGAUCCCUGCCUGUUGUCUGUUGUCAAUCAACUGAUUGCUCAAAAUUUGGUUCUCUUAGCAACAAUGGCAAUGGCAUGCUUAAGUCCCAAUCCGAGAUCUCAACCUACAAUGCUGCAGGUGUCUUGAGUGUUUCUUGUUCACAGACCACUGUUACCAAAGCCUCUGCAGGCAUUACAAUGUGGGAGCUGAUGAAUCAGGAGAUAUAUAAUUCCAUGGACGAAAAUUAGAACUAGCCUACACAAUGGUUGCAACUGAGAAGUGUGAUGUUUGUA